GGCGGCCCAGCUCCGCCGCUCUGCUGUCCCGCCGCUCCGGGUUUUCGCGACAGCUGCAGAAAAUGCGAGGGAGGCCAGAGAGAAAAGCACCGCAUCGCCCCAAGCCAACUCCUGGGAGAGGAGGGAUAGGAGCAGUUCCGACCUCUGCAGCAACUUGGCUCCAGCUGUGUCUCAUGGCGCCUGCCAACUGUCACAAGCUCCUCGGAGACUGUCAACAGCAGGACGCAGGGCCUCGAGGGCAAACAAGUUCUCGGCAAGCGCAAACCGCCUGGGCGAACGCACCGCAGGGGGUCAUUUGACCCGCAAGGGAAUUAGGUAUUAGGUUUUAAAGAAGAAAAAUCGAAGCUCAAUAUUAUAUUUUCAAGUGUCAAUUGUAUUAAGUCACGCACUUCCCACUCUACUUUAAAACCUCUAAUAGAGCUUAGAAUAAAAGCGAAACUCUACCUAACUCUGGGACCUCAUCUACACGUGUUCACGAUGCUGUGGCUACAAAGGGCUUCUUGCAGUUCCUGGAAGUAGCCAAGUUCAUCCAGCAUUGUUAACUAUUUGUCUUGCAUAUUUCUUGUGCAAAAACGUCCUUCUGCCUGGUACUUUGCCUGCUGAGUCCUUCUUGUUUUUUAGGUCUCAGCUCAAACGUCAUCUCUACAAAGAGCUCUUCUCUGACCACAGAAUCUAAAAUAGGCAGAAACAUGGUCUACUGCUUAAUUUUCUUACAGCACUCAUCACUCUCUAAAAUCAUGUUUUGGUUUGUCGCUUCAUGUGAACGGAUGCAUGGUGUUUAGAGUUCUAGUUCACUUGCAAAGUUAAACACUUUUCCAGAUUAUCUCUAUAUUGAAUGGUAUGUUCGUUAUCAGUACAGAGUAGGUGUCUAUCAUAUGAUACCUCAAAGCUGCUCUCUCCCCACUGUGUUAAUAAAGAUAAUAACAGCCCGUAGACUUCACCUCCACCCACACCCCAGGGAACUUAAGAAUCAAAAACAGGAAGUGAACCACAGGGGCUGGUGUAUCAGUGUUCAGAUAUUAUAUAGUACAUGCAGGAUUGGUUUCUGUUAAAAGAACCCCACACAUUGUAUUGCUUAGAUAAGAGGCUCUUCCCUGUAUUCUAAGUCAUAUUAUAUUCCUUUGGAGUUAUUUUUGCAGCUGUAGCACUUAAUACCAGAGACAUUUAAAACUCCACAGAUGUUAAAUGCUCUCACCUCACCUCACCUGCAAAUUAGAGUCUGUCAUGCUUUUAAAUUAUCUUGUGUGUUUUCUUAAAUACUCCAUUUCUGCAGAGACUUGUAGAAAUGCUUGACCGUUGCACUAGUAAAUAUAGGUGGAUCAUCAAGUCUUUCUGAGAUUUCUUUGAUAAAGAAACAAAUAAUUCGUUA